rnacentral:pre_miRNA from 1 species
UCUUAUAGAUGAGCCAAGAAAGUGAUUUCUUGAGAUAGAAUAUACUCCUGGGGAAGAUGGUGUGAA